AGACGAGGGCCCCGAGCGUUAUCCGGAUUUACUGGGCGUAAAGCGUGCGCAGGCGGCCAAAUAAGUCCUUGGUUAAAUCAUGGGGCUCAACUCCAUGACUGCCAAGGAUACUGUUUGGCUUGAGGCCGGGAGAGGCGAGUGGAAUUGCUGGUGGAGGGGUUAAAUCCGUUGAUAUCAGCAAGAACACCGAAUGCGAAGGCAGCUCGCUAGAACGGUCCUGACGCUGAGGCACGAAAGCGUGGGGAGCGAAGAGGAUUAGAAACCCUAGUAGUCCC
rnacentral:rRNA from 1 species